UCUAAAUUAGUAUAAUAAGUACAUUUACCUUCCAAGUAAAAAGACUACAACGCUAGAUUUAGAA
rnacentral:tRNA from 1 species